rnacentral:rRNA from 1 species
AUUGAACGCUGGCGGCAGGCCUAACACAUGCAAGUCGAGUGGGGUUUUCGGACCUAGCGGCGGACGGGUGAGUAAUGCGUAGGAAGCUACCCGAUAGAGGGGGAUACCAGUUGGAAACGACUGUUAAUACCGCAUAAUGUCUACGGACCAAAGUGUGGGACCUUCGGGCCACAUGCUAUCGGAUGCGCCUACGUGGGAUUAGCUAGUUGGUGAGGUAAUGGCUCACCAAGGCGACGAUCUCUAGCUGGUUUGAGAGGAUGAUCAGCCACACUGGAACUGAGACACGGUCCAGACUCCUAUGGGAGGCAGCAGUGGGGAAUAUUGGACAAUGGGCGCAAGCCUGAUCCAGCCAUGCCGCGUGUGUGGAGAAGGCCUUCGGGUUGUAAAGCACUUUCAGUAGGGAGGAAGCGUUGAGUGUUAAUAGUACUCAGCGUUGACGUUACCUACAGAAGAAGCACCGGCUAACUCUGUGCCAGCAGCCGCAGUAA